rnacentral:hammerhead_ribozyme from 1 species
AUCCAUCUGACUAGUCCCCAAUAGGACGAAACGAGCUUCGUGAAU